AGGAGGGGGUAAACAAGGCAAAGACCCGGCAACCUCACAUCAGCCAGUGAAUUACUUCUAUGCAGCCAGCUCUGGACAGAUGGCUCAGAAUCAGACACAAUCUUGCCAUCAUGACCGGUUGCUCCUCUUCAUUGGGAGGCAGCUGGAGUGAAGAGCUUCCUUAUCUCCAGGAACUUUGAAGAACUGUCUCAGGUUUCUCCGGUCCUUCCACACACAAGGCUGGGUUCCCACUGCAAGAGAGAGAAACCCAGCCUUCUUUGCCUCUGUGGCAAUUACCAACUAGCAAAUAUUUUUUUCAUGUUAGCGUUGACAGAAAUAACUCCCAUAUCUGUAAACCUACAUGGAGUUCAACAGAGCUUAACUACACUGCUGUAGGGCUUCUUGAUGUAGAUGCAGCAGAAAUGCUCAUAAAACAGAGGCUGACAAAUUACAAGUACUGUGUAAAAUACUUUAAGGUCCCUAGAUGCAAAUUGUAAAUAGCACUCUUGUUAUAAUGAUAUAUUAUACAUCCACCCCUCUACUCCCUCCUAUAUCCCUUUCAACAAUAAAAAUGAGAAGGGAUGGGAAAAGAAUGAUUGUCUGAUCUCAGCAUUUACUGUUGAGUUUUCCAUUCUCUAUUUUUGAAUCUUCAUCAAAGACGACAUGCUGCCCUUGAGAUUUAGCCCCAUUUAUCAGUACAGAGAGCAAAUAAAAUUGAUUUGUUUAGAUUGUGA